GUAAUUUUGUCAUGCUAAUAAUAAGGAUCGUUAUUCUUGUUAAUUAUAUUUCGAUGAUAAUUUUCCUUAUCUUGACGUAUAGUGUUAGUCACUGGCCCUAUUUCGUAGUGUCGAGAAAGCAUUCCAGUCAGUUUCACGUUUUGUGAUCAUUGCUAUACGUUUAAGUCGAUCUCUGUCUCGUAUCAAGUUUUUUUGUAUUUUGGUUUAACCAUGGAAUGUUAUGUUUAGUUCGAAUUCGUUUGAGUUUCAGCGGAGCGUGUUUGUCAAAAACCUCCAGAAAAAGAGAUUUCCAAAGAGACCACUUACGAUCAAUGUUUGAUUCCUGAUCGAUGUGGUUCCAUGGUUGAUUAUAAAGAUCAUCGUGAAAACUAUUGCAAUUAAAAUGCUUAAAAUUGCGAAUUUCAAUAUUCUUAUGGGAAUGGGGGCCCGCUUUAGGUCCGGCUCUCCUUACUACACAAAUAAUAUUGCGGUCACUUAUGCCCGGUGGAACAACGUCCGCAGAAAAAACAUUCUCUGAAUUUGAGGUGAUACAAACGUCUAAUAAGGAUGCGGUUGUUUGAGUGAGACGCGUGGGUUGGGUAAUUAUUUGAGAAAGUUGAUACAUUUCCAUGAGUGACGUUAGUCGCUU